rnacentral:tRNA from 1 species
GAGGGCAUAGCUCAGUGGUAGAGCACACGCUUAGCGUGCAUGAGGUCCUGGGUUCAAUCCCCAGCACCUCCG